CAAGAAUCACGGGCCAUUUGGGGCUGCGUUUCUAGAGGAACUGGGAAGGGUAUGGUAACAAGCCCAGGGACAUAGCUAUAUUUUUUUAAGAAGUAAAGACAGAGAAUGCGAAGAGAUCACAUUCCGCAUUGUGGGCAGGAAGCAGCAGGGGCAGCAGCGUCUGCCUGGGCAGCAUGGAAGUCAUGGAAGAUGGGUCCCCUGCUGAACUCUUCAGAAGUCAACCAUUCACCCCAACACCCCUUCUCUGGUGCAUUUUACUUCAUAUGCUCUGGGAUAAUCAAGAUUACAAGAAGAAAAUGUUAUGUAAUUGCAGCUUAUAAUAUCUUAGAUAAGAAACCUUUGAUUUGAUAUGAAUAGUUUCAGAAAGUAAUAAAUCUAACAAUAAGAUUUUAUAAAGCA
rnacentral:lncRNA from 1 species